CUGGGUUUUUUUAAUUGUUUAUUUACAAGUCAAACUUUUAAUGAAAGUUUAAUGCUACAUGCUGUCAUAUAAGUCACCUGUUGUUUGUAUAUUUAGAGUGGUGUCAUAAAAAAGGUGAUUUAAAAUGCUCACCAUCUGUCCUGUCAGUUUUGUGCAAACUCAUUUCAUCUAGAGGCUUCUUUGCUUUGGCACUUCAUUUAUGCCCAAAGCAUCGUCUUUUCUAGGCCACUGGAAACUGGAAAGCCUUGGAAAACCUGUUAGAGUAAAAAGUUGUUUUGAAAGUACAAGAUUAAAGAGUUAAUUUUAUUUGUAUUUAACCUUUAUUUAACCAGGUUAUUAUCCCAUUGAGAUCAAGAUCUCUUUCACAAGUGUGACCUGGCCAAGAGGGCAGCAGCACAUGUCAUAAUAAACAUUACAUUAAUCAGACUGAAUAAUUCUCAUCUUCUACGCUCUGAUUUGUGUCAUGUUCCUUUCUGAUAGAUAGAUAGAUUGAUAAACUUUAUUGUCUGUCCCAACAGUGACAGAAAUCCUCCUUUGACAAGCCUCAGUCAUUACAUUUAAAAACACAACACAGUACAAACAUUAAAAGAGGACUGUUAAAAAACGACAGCUGCUAAAAAGUGUCUCUUUGAUUUUCUUCAUGGUGGGAAUGAAGGAUUUUUUGUAGAUAUUUUUCUGGGCAUUAAUGCUACACUGGCACUGUUACUUGGCAAUCUUUCCAAUGCUUUUUUCUCUCCUUUCCACAAUUCAUUGCUAAUUGACAAUGGCUUCUUACAUGCUCUGUUAAAAGCACUUUCUGAAGCAAAAUAGCCUGCAAGAUUAGAUCAGAUUUUUUUUUUAAAGCCUAUUUAAGUUGAAUGUAAAAAGGCGUAGUGAUACAGUAUAAAUCUGAUAGUACAGGGAAUGCAUAAAGCAUUAUAAUAUUUAACUUUGACAGAGAUAAGUGAAAUAACUGUGUGCUGCUACACCACCACCUGUUACUCUGCAUUUUCACAGCUGGCAGAAGGAUCUUGGCCUCAGCCUAACUGCAUUUUGCACUUCAGCGGCACACUCACUGAUCCUGACAGGUGCAGGAAUCCAGAUAUAUACAGCUGUUUAUUGUUGUUGACAACCUAAUGGUCUGCCAGAGCAGGAAUACAAGGAUGUGACAGUCAUCACAAUCAUGUCAGGAGGGUUCAUCAGCACUGGAUACAAUGGAGUUACCAGAAAACAACAGCUUUUUGGACAGAGCAGAGCACUGUGUGUGUGUGUGUGUGUGUGUGUGCAGGCUGCAGAGUAAUAGCUUAAACUCUGACCCUGAUAUCUUGGGAUUGUGAUGGUUUAUGCUCAUUUUAAGUCUUGGAUUUUUUUGUUAUUUGUCGGUCCAGAGGCUGUUUCAAGAAAAGUAGAUAUUCAUUUUUGUUUGGAACGGGGCCAGGGUCAUACCAGAUGUAUAAUUGCUUCAAUGCAUGAUUAUUUAACCAUGAGGGCUGUUAAUGAAAGUAUAGUUCCUAAAACUCUUCACGUCUCUAUUAAGACAAAAGAUAAUGGAUAUUAAAGCGUUGUAAUUGCUGCUAGAGUUCCUUCUCUCUCACAUUGAGUUCUGCCUUCUGUAUCUGUGACUGUGUGUGUUAUGAUCAUGACUCUGCGUACGAGGCAGCCACACAGUUUCCAUGGCAUGCAGACUCGGAGUUACUGCGUGAAGACAGUGUAAGGAGGGAAUAACAUUGGCCUAGAUAUGUUGCAUGACUAACUAAGCGAGUGCACUUGAGCUUGUCCUCAGUCAAGCCUGGAGACUUGUCUGAUGACAGAGACCUGGGUCUGGAAAGGUCAAAUAUCCUCUUCUAGACCUUAAUGCAAUGAUUAGAACUGAUCCUUCAGUAUGGAGCGAGCCUGCACGGAAAGCCAUAAAUAGGUUUGUUUUUAUAAGGAACACCCCUGUGCCCCAAAUGUCUUGGUAUAGCCUGCCUUUUUGCAGAAAUUACCCAGGGACCAUUUCUCUGAGCUGUGAACAAUGUCAUGUAGGAGACUGCCACUUGGCACGGAUAAAAAAAUAUUUUGAUAGUUAGUGAGGUUGGAUUUAGUUACCCUAGACAAUGUGUCCUUUACGGUUCAAAGAUAGUAUAGAUAUAUUUUAGAAUCCUGAUGUUUAGUGAUACAGUACUUUGAAUAACAAAGGUUUACAUGCAAACGUCCAUUGAGGUGUUUAAUAUGUGCUUUUUAACCCUGAGCUGUAGGAGUGCAGCAUUCGAGCUUCAACAAUUUUUAUCUUCUGCCCCGACAUGGUAACUUCAGCUGAGCCAAAGAGGAAGAAGGUUAAUAUCAUUGUGGAGAGUGUAAAUAAUGGACGAGCCCACAGUGAUGUGAGCUUCCAGCUCAACAUUAUGGCUUUUGCCAUGUUGGUUUUCUAGAACCACAAGUGACCAUGAUUGUAAAAGAGAGUGAUGCUCAUUGAGUGUAUAAAAAGGUGGACAACAUGACAGCUCCUCAACAGUCAAGCCAAUACAUCAGGUGCUCUCUCUACUAACUGGCUGCAGUAUUGGUCAUAAAUCCUGCCUCCUCCAUGUUAAUAGGCUGAACAUGGAUUAAAAUAUAAAGUCAAUAUCAAUUCCAAUUCAUUUUUGGAUUCUGUCAUUAUAGUUAGUUCUUAUCAUGCUGAUUUAUGUCCAAAUGUCCAAAUUAAGAUUUACAGGUUGUCCAUGUCUGCACCAGCUUUAUUUAUCAGACCCAGAGAUUACUGCUUGGUUUCCAGCCUUUCUGCUAAACUAAGCUAACUAGCUGCAGCUUUAUAACAGACAGAUUUGAGUAAUUCGACCUUCUUAUCCAGCUCUGAGUGACAAAGCCAAUAAGCUUGUGUCUCAAAUUGUCAAACUUCCUUCAGCUUCAAGGACAAGUAACUAAAGGCAUGGGAAUUUUUUAUUUGACCAAUUUGAGGAAAUAUUGCAAAUUGUCUCAUUUUCAGCCUUGUAAAAGAU